rnacentral:rRNA from 1 species
CGGCAUGCCUUACACAUGCAAGUCGAACGGCAGCACGGGUGCUUGCACCUGGUGGCGAGUGGCGAACGGGUGAGUAAUAUAUCGGAACGUACCUUAUCGUGGGGGAUAACGCAGCGAAAGCUGCGCUAAUACCGCAUACGCCCUGAGGGGGAAAGCGGGGGACCGUAAGGCCUCGCGCGAUUAGAGCGGCCGAUAUCUGAUUAGCUUGUUGGUGGGGUAAAAGCCCACCAAGGCGACGAUCAGUAGCUGGUCUGAGAGGACGAUCAGCCACACUGGGACUGAGACACGGCCCAGACUCCUACGGGAGGCAGCAGUGGGGAAUUUUGGACAAUGGGGGCAACCCUGAUCCAGCAAUGCCGCGUGAGUGAAGAAGGCCUUCGGGUUGUAAAGCUCUUUUGUCAGGGAAGAAACAGCAGCUCUAACACAGUCUGCGAAUGACGGUACCUGAAGAAUAAGCACCGGCUAACUACGUG